rnacentral:rRNA from 1 species
AGAGUUUGAUUCUGGCUCAGGAUGAACGCUAGCUACAGGCUUAACACAUGCAAGUCGAGGGGCAGCAUGGUCUUAGCUUGCUAAGGCUGAUGGCGACCGGCGCACGGGUGAGUAACGCGUAUCCAACCUACCCCAUAGUAGGGGAUAGCCCGUAGAAAUGCGGAUUAAUACCCUAUGUUUUCCGAGGAGGACAUCUGACUUGGAACAAAGAUUCAUCGCUAUGGGAUGGGGAUGCGUCCGAUUAGCUUGUUGGCGGGGUGACGGCCCACCAAGGCGACGAUCGGUAGGGGUUCUGAGAGGAAGGUCCCCCACACUGGUACUGAGACACGGACCAGACUCCUACGGGAGGCAGCAGUGAGGAAUAUUGGUCAAUGGGCGAGAGCCUGAACCAGCCAAGUAGCGUGCAGGAAGACGGCCCUACGGGUUGUAAACUGCUUUUAUCAGGGGAUAAAGUGUGGGACGCGUCCCUCAUUGCAGGUACCUGAUGAAUAAGGACCGGCUAAUUCCGUGCCAGCAGCCGC